CGCGGGAUAGAGCAGUUUGGUAGCUCGUCGGGCUCAUAACCCGAAGGUCGGGGGUUCAAAUCCCUCUCCCGCAACCA
rnacentral:tRNA from 1 species